GAUGAACGCUGGCGGCGUGCCUAAUACAUGCAAGUCGAGCGAACAGAUGAGGAGCUUGCUCCUCUGACGUUAGCGGCGGACGGGUGAGUAACACGUGGAUAACCUACCUAUAAGACUGGGAUAACUUCGGGAAACCGGAGCUAAUACCGGAUAAUAUAUUGAACCGCAUGGUUCAAUAGUGAAAGACGGUUUUGCUGUCACUCAUAGAUGGAUCCGCGCCGCAUUAGCUAGUUGGUAAGGUAACGGCUUACCAAGGCAACGAUGCGUAGCCGACCUGAGAGGGUGAUCGGCCACACUGGAACUGAGACACGGUCCAGACUCCUACGGGAGGCAGCAGUAGGGAAUCUUCCGCAAUGGGCGAAAGCCUGACGGAGCAACGCCGCGUGAGUGAUGAAGGUCUUCGGAUCGUAAAACUCUGUUAUUAGGGAAGAACAAAUGUGUAAGUAACUAUGCACGUCUUGACGGUACCUAAUCAGAAAGCCACGGCUAACUACGU
rnacentral:rRNA from 1 species